rnacentral:ncRNA from 1 species
GAAGACCGUCCCGCACGGAUGGACUCCAGCCCGCAAGUGGAGGCUCCGAUCUCCCACCUGGCGGCCCCUGGGGCCGCGGGUCAACGGUCAGGCUGCGCCCCGCGGAGUUCCGCGGCGGUGCUCCCGGUCUGUGAGGAGCCCCGCCUGUGACCCGUCCGGGGCGUUUUUU